rfam:Stegodyphus mimosarum contig19219, whole genome shotgun sequence.
GCCUUCGUGGGGUAAUGGUCAGCACACUGAGCCGGUAUUUCAGAGGUCCGUGGUUCGAUUCUCGGCGAAGGAC